AAACGUAGGAGGCGAGCGUUAUCCGGAUUUACUGGGCGUAAAGCGCAUGCAGGUGGUCUCGCAAGUUGGAUGUGAAAGCUCCUGGCUUAACUGGGAGAGGUCGUUCAAAACUGCGGGACUAGAGAGUGGUAGAGGGAGGUGGAAUUCCGGGUGUAGUGGUGAAAUGCGUAGAUAUCCGGAGGAACACCAGUGGCGAAAGCGGCCUCCUGGACCACUUCUGACACUCAGAUGCGAAAGCUAAGGUAGC
rnacentral:rRNA from 1 species